CACGUUUCACUCCUGGGGAAAAGUACGGAGCAAGCAUAAAACUUGAAAGGACAAGACCAUCUCAGCGUGUCUGCAGAGAUGAUUAAAGAUGAAAAGGAUCUGUGAGAAUCACACCAGGCGGAACACAAGGACAGCAUCAUACAGUGUGAGGCCCGUGCCAAUCUGCCAGCUUCCUGUCUGUGCGGAGAACAGUAUGCUGGGUCGUGGAAGGUCAGAGAGCUCCAUUGCUGUCUCUACGAGUCCUCAAUAGAGCUCAGUCAACCCUGGCCACCACCAUGACAACGCCACUCAUCAAAAACCUGAGAUGGAUGAGCAGACACAGACACCUCUAUUUCAGUGGGAACGUAAUGGG